AGCGAACGUUAGCGGCGCGCCUAACACAUGCAAGUCGCACGAGAAAGGGAGCAAUCCCCGGUACAGUGGCGCACGGGUGAGUAACACGUAGAUGACCUUCCCUGGAGUGGUGGAUAACCUGCCGAAAGGCGGGCUAAUACAGCAUGGGACCACAUGGUUUUGACCGGAGUGGUGAAAGCGGGCCUCUGUUCACAAGCUCGCGCUCUGGGAUGGGUCUGCGUCCCAUCAGCUAGUUGGUGAGGUAAUGGCUCACCAAGGCAUCGACGGGUAGCUGGUCUGAGAGGAUGACCAGCCACACUGGAACUGAGACACGGUCCAGACUCCUACGGGAGGCAGCAGUGGGGAAAUCUUGCGCAAUGGGCGAAAGCCUGACGCAGCGACGCCGCGUGGGUGAUGAAGGCCUCGG
rnacentral:rRNA from 1 species